GAUCAUGGCUCAGGAUGAACGCUGGCGGCGUGCCUAACACAUGCAAGUCGAACGGGGUUAUUUUGGAAAUCUCUUCGGAGAUGGAAUUCUUAACCUAGUGGCGGACGGGUGAGUAACGCGUGAGCAAUCUGCCUUGGAGUGGGGGAUAACAGCCGGAAACGGCUGCUAAUACCGCAUAAUGUAUCGGGAUCGCAUGGUCUUGAUACCAAAGGCUUGUCUGCUCUGAG
rnacentral:rRNA from 1 species